UUGGGCAGUGUUCUUGGGGGCUCCCUGAAGCUUCGUGAGCUGAAAGUGCAAGGCCCCAGCUCUGCCAGGCAGCCAGCUUCCUCCCCGUCUGAGUGCAGCUGUCCCCACAAACAGGGACGUCGGGGAUCAGGGUCUCGAGUGGACCGCGAGUACAGGGUCUCAGUUGGAGGACCUUCCCGCCACCCGUGGCCGUCAGACUCACCCGCGAGAUGGUCGUUCCUGAUGCUCUCUUCAUGCUCAACCAUUGUCCUCCAGGGAUAUCCUCGAAUGGCCUUUCCAGGUACCAUGGCUUGGCCAGAGUACACCUACUACCCUCUGGCUCCCCUGGACACUAAAUAUUUGGCUACAUCAAGGCAA